rnacentral:rRNA from 1 species
AUUAGUAAGUGACGGUACCUGCAGAAGAAGCGCCGGCUAACUACGUGCCAGCAGCCGCGGUAAUACGUAGGGCGCAAGCGUUAUCCGGGAAUUAUUGGGCGUAAAGAGCUCGUAGGCGGUUUGUCGCGUCUGCCGUGAAAGUCCGGGGCUCAACUCGGGAUCUGCGGUGGGUACGGGCAGACUAGAGUGAUGUAGGGGAGACUGGAAUUCCUGGUGUAGCGGUGAAAUGCGCAGAUAUCAGGAGGAACACCGAUGGCGAAGGCAGGUCUCUGGGCAUUAACUGACGCUGAGGAGCGAAAGCAUGGGGAGCGAACAGGAUUAGAUACCCUGGUAGUCCAUGCCGUAAACGUUGGGCACUAGGUGUGGGGGACAUUCCACGUUUUCCGCGCCGUAGCUAACGCAUUAAGUGCCCCGCCUGGGGAGUACGGCCGCAAGGCUAAAACUCAAAGGAAUUGACGGGGGCCCGCACAAGCGGCGGAGCAUGCGGAUUAAUUCGAUGCAACGCGAAGAACCUUACCAAGGCUUGACAUGAACCGGACCGGGCUGGAAACAGUCUUUCCCCUUGUGGGCUGGUUUACAGGUGGUGCAUGGUUGUCGUCAGCUCGUGUCGUGAGAUGUUGGGUUAAGUCCCGCAACGAGCGCAACCCUCGUUCUAUGUUGCCAGCACGUGAUGGUGGGGACUCAUAGGAGACUGCCGGGGUCAACUCGGAGGAAGGUGGGGACGACGUCAAAUCAUCAUGCCCCUUAUGUCUUGGGCUUCACGCAUGCUACAAUGGCCGGUACAAAGGGUUGCGAUACUGUGAGGUGGAGCUAAUCCCAAAAAGCCGGUCUCAGUUCGGAUUGGGGUCUGCAACUCGACCCCAUGAAGUCGGAGUCGCUAGUAAUCGCAGAUCAGCAACGCUGCGGUGAAUACGUUCCCGGGCCUUGUACACACCGCCCGUCAAGUCACGAAAGUUGGUAACACCCGAAGC